AACUCAGUUGGUAGAGCAUGGUGUUUGCAACGCCAGGGUUGUGGGUUCGAUUCCCAC
rfam:Salmo salar isolate Sally breed double haploid chromosome ssa06, whole genome shotgun sequence.